rnacentral:rRNA from 1 species
GAUGAACGCUGGCGGCGUGCCUAAUACAUGCAAGUCGAGCGAACGGACGAGAAGCUUGCUUCUCUGAUGUUAGCGGCGGACGGGUGAGUAACACGUGGAUAACCUACCUAUAAGACUGGGAUAACUUCGGGAAACCGGAGCUAAUACCGGAUAAUAUUUUGAACCGCAUGGUUCAAAAGUGAAAGACGGUCUUGCUUUCACUUAUAGAUGGAUCCGCGCUGCAUUAGCUAGUUGGUAAGGUAACGGCUUACCAAGGCAACGAUGCAUAGCCGACCUGAGAGGGUGAUCGGCCAGACUGGAACUGAGACACGGUCCCGACUCCUACGGGAGGCAGCAGUAGGGACUCUUCCGCAAUGGGCGAAAGCCUGACGGAGCAACGCCGCGUGAGUGCUGAAGGUCUUCGGAUCGUAAAACUAUGUUAUUAGGGAAGAACAUAUGUGUAAGUAACUGUGCACAUAUUGACGGUACCUAAUCAGAAAGCCACGGCUAACUACGUG